UCAGGGACUGAGAAUGCCAUCCUGCUCAAAGAGCCUAAUCUUUCACAGAACCAGAGCCAUCUCAUGCUCAUUUGGAGCACCAAUGAGUCGACACGCCACAGCACUCUGCAGCACCAUCCCAAAUCAUUACGUUCCUUCUCUCGUCUCUGACAUGCCAUUUCCUUGUGUUUGGGCAAUGAGACGGGGUUGCAAGAAAGUACAGAUCAGGAGCCAUAAGACGCUACCCACGGCGGCCAAGGCCGGGUCGACCUCGGACGAUGAGCCCCUGCACUCACCUGAUCCAGAAGGUGCAGGGAAGAAGGGAACCAUGCUCGGUGCGGUCUCCUGGAUCGUCGGAACCAGCAUCGGUUCUGGAAUACUUGCUCUACUAGAAAAAACUUCUCCUGCGGGAUUCAUUCCAAGUGCGAUAUCCAUAAUCCUGUGAUGGGUGGUCCUGGUGAUCGAAGCCCUUUUGCUAGCCGAAGUAAACAUUGAGUUGAGGAAGCAGGGGAUGACUUGGAAGUUGUGUCCCUCAGAACAAUGGCUCAGGAGACACUGGGCGUCUGGGGAGGGAACUUGGCCACUGUCGCCUACCUCUUCUUGGGCUACACUUGUGUGGUGGCCUACACCUCCAAGUCAGGGGAAGUUCUCUCUCACUUGAUCGGCCUUCCUGCUUCCACCUUGCAACCUCUUCACGCUCCUCGUGGCACUGCUCAUACUGGUCGGUGGCAUGACCAUCACAGACCAAGUGAAUCAAUGGCUGACCGUCACAAUGAUAGGUUUACUGGUACUGAUCGAGGCCAUGUCUGUCUCCUUUGGUGGUGGGACGGUCUCAGUAACCUCCUCAGAUUGGGCGAAGGCGCCACAGACCACCUGUUAUCUGUGCAUAUCUCGGAGGCAAUCUAGCACGGGUGAGGUUCUCAAUUCUUUUAGGCAGCACCGUGCCAUUGAUCUCUUUACUGGUGUGGGAAAAGUAUCGCACUUGGAAUCUCCUCCAAUUUGGAUGCCACUGAUCCCAUGCUAUUGAUUGCUCAUAAGCAUAAGGUGGAGCAGCAUGUUGCCGAUGGUGGAAACAUUCUCAAUUCUAGCAGUCGGGACAUCACUAAUUGGCACUCUCCUUGGCUUCUCUCUGUUCUUCGUAGAACAACUCAGCAGCUUCCAUGCUUCUGUACAAGAAGAACCAAAGAGCAGCGAUGAUGGUACAGGAGAUGCCACAGAAGACUGUGAAGCAACAAAAUGGUGGGAGAGCAGCAAGCUGAAUAUUUCGGCAAUUUCCAUGGGUGGUUACUGCAUGAUGGUACUGUAUGGGAUUCUUCCACCUGCAAUGGCCUGGGCGAGAAGUUCUAAGAUAGAUGAUAAGGACGAGGACAAAGACGAGCAAGUCGAUGGUCUUCGAGAAGGUAUGUCAUCUCAUGCUGUGCCUGUUGUACUAGUUGGGGUAGCAAUAUUUUCUUGUGCUGUUGUCGUGGAACAAAUACUACAGGAUCUAACAUGUCCGACCUCCAUUUGAAUUCUAGCAGUAAUCUAAUGCAUCACUCCAUAUUAAGCUAGAUAACAUGAAAGGAUGUUUACCCAUCAUAUAUUUCAUCUGCUUUGUACAUUCCUUCAUGGAUCUCAUAAAUUCUGUACAUCUGUAUUUUCAUCAAAACUAUCCCAUCUGAAUUAUCUGC